rnacentral:rRNA from 1 species
GACGAACGCUGGCGGCGUGCCUAAUACAUGCAAGUAGAACGCACAGUUUAUACCGUAGCUUGCUACACCAUAGACUGUGAGUUGCGAACGGGUGAGUAACGCGUAGGUAACCUGCCUGGUAGCGGGGGAUAACUAUUGGAAACGAUAGCUAAUACCGCAUAAUAUUAAUUAUUGCAUGAUAAUUGAUUAAAAGGUGCAAUUGCACCACUACCAGAUGGACCUGCGUUGUAUUAGCUAGUAGGUGAGGUAACGGCUCACCUAGGCGACGAUACAUAGCCGACCUGAGAGGGUGAUCGGCCACACUGGGACUGAGACACGGCCCAGACUCCUACGGGAGGCAGCAGUAGGGAAUCUUCGGCAAUGGACGAAAGUCUGACCGAGCAACGCCGCGUGAGUGAAGAAGGUUUUCGGAUCGUAAAGCUCUGUUGUAAGAGAAGAACGGGUGUGAGAGUGGAAAGUUCACACU